rnacentral:rRNA from 1 species
GUACGGGAGGCAGCAGUGGGGAAUUUUGCGCAAUGGGGGAAACCCUGACGCAGCAACGCCGCGUGAGUGAUGAAGGCCUUCGGGUCGUAAAGCUCUGUCAGAGGGGAAGAAAUGAAAAGUGCUAAUACCACUUUUUCUUGACGGUACCCUCAAAGGAAGCACCGGCUAACUCCGUGCCAGCAGCCGCGGUAAUACGGAGGGUGCAAGCGUUGUUCGGAUUUAUUGGGCGUAAAGCGCGUGUAGGCGGUUUCUUAAGUCUGAUGUGAAAGCCCUGGGCUCAACCCAGGAAGUGCAUUGGAUACUGGGAGACUUGAAUACGGGAGAGGGUAGUGGAAUUCCUAGUGUAGGAGUGAAAUCCGUAGAUAUUAGGAGGAACACCGGUGGCGAAGGCGGCUACCUGGACCGAUAUUGACGCUGAGACGCGAAAGCGUGGGGAGCAAACAGGAUUAGAUACCCCCGUAGUCCG